rnacentral:lncRNA from 1 species
AUGGAAAAAGCUGACAUAGAAUUUUUAAAUCUCUCGGAAAAAGAAAAAAAAAAACUAUAUUCUUAUAACUUCUAUACACUUGAAAAGUUGAGUACAAAUUAUUUGGAAGAUGUAGAAAUAAGGGACAUUAAUUUGAUACAAAAUAAAAUUUUUAAAUAUCACUUGGGUAAUCUAGGAAUUAACAGUGAAGAUGGAAAAAAUAACAAAAAAAACAUUUGUGCAAAUAUAAAUAACUUGCAUCAAAUAUACUCAUAUAGUGAUAACGAACAGUAUUGCUUUAAUCAUAAUAAGGGUUAUAAAAACGGUAAAACAAAUGAUGGUAAUUAUAUUUAUGGCAGCAGUUGUAGUAAUAGUGAUGAUAUCAGCAGUUAUUACACUGAUGACAAUAGUAAUGACAACAAUAGUGGCAUAAAUAGCGACAUAAAUAAUGAUAACAGUAGUGAUAACAGUGGUGAUAACAGUGGUGAUAACAAUGAUGAUAACAGUGGUGAUAACAGUAGUGACAACAGUAGUGACAACAGUAGUGACAACAGUUGUUAUAAUAAAGUAAAUGAUUCAUGUUUAUAUGGAUCUGACAUUUCACAUUCAGGUGAGUAUUACACAUGUACUCCUGCUCGUUGUGGUAAUUCUUUUUCACACAUUUCUAACAUAAACAAACAGCAAUAUGCCAAUAAAAUAAUAAACAAACAUGUAGACUAUCAAACAGACAAAUCAAUUAAAAAAAACUAUUAUAACAAAAACUAUUAUAACAAAAACUAUUAUAACAAAAAAAAUUAUAACAAUGAAACGUCUAAAAUAUAUGAAUAUGGUGAUGUUAGUAGUGGUAGUAGUAGUAGUAGUAGUAGUAGUAGUAGUGGUAGUAGUAGUAGUGGUAGUAGUAGUAGUGGUAGUAGUAGUAGUGGUAGUAGUAGUAUUAGUAGUAUUCGUAGUAGUGUUGGUGGUAGUGGUAGUAGUAGUAGUAGUAGUAAUAGCAGUACUAGUAGUGGUACAAAUAAAUGGGCACAAAUAAGUAACAAAAUUAUAAACACAAAAGAAGCUGAAAGAAUAUUCAGUAAAACUCAUGUUGAUGAUAUAUUAAAAAACAAUUCUAUACAAGAUAAUAAAAAAAACAUUUUUUUAUAUAUACAUAAUAAAAAAUAUAAAAUUAAUCAAAUUCCAUUUUUAUGUUCUGUAUACAACUCUUUUGAUUUUUUUAUAAAUAUACAAACAAAAGUUUUUAAUAAUAAACAUAUUUUAAGAUUUACUCUGUUAAAGUCACAAAAUAGUUCCAAAUAUUAUUAUUCCUAUGCUUAUAUAAAAAAAUUCACGUUGAAGGAAGUACCGUAAUUUUUUUUUUUUUUUUUUUUUUUUUUUUGUGUGCAUCUGUUAUUUAUUCAUUUGUUAU